rnacentral:rRNA from 1 species
GACGAACGCUGGCGGCGUGCUUAACACAUGCAAGUCGAACGGAAAGGCCCUGCUUUUGUGGGGUGCUCGAGUGGCGAACGGGUGAGUAACACGUGAGUAACCUGCCCUUGCCUUUGGGAUAACUUCAGGAAACUGGGGCAAAUACCGGAUAGGAGCUCCUGCUGCAUGGUGGGGGUUGGAAAGUUUCGGCGGUUGGGGAUGGACUCGCGGCUUAUCAGUUUGUUGGUGGGGUAGUGGCUUACCAAGGCUUUGACGGGUAGCCGGCCUGAGAGGGUGACCGGCCACAUUGGGACUGAGAUACGGCCCAGACUCCUACGGGAGGCAGCAGUGGGGAAUAUUGCACAAUGGGCGGAAGCCUGAUGCAGCAACGCCGCGUGCGGGAUGACGGCCUUCGGGUUGUAAACCGCUUUCGCCUGUGACGAAGCGUGAGUGACGGUAAUGGGUAAAGAAGCACCGGCUAACUACGUG